rnacentral:misc_RNA from 1 species
CAGCCCAUUUGCCCUCGCACCGCACCCCCUCCAGACCACCAAUGUCCGCCUACCACAGCAGCAACCCUGUCGAGGCCCGCCGCGCCGAGUGCGCGCGCCUGCAGGCCAAGUACCCCGGCCACGUCGCCGUGGUUGUCGAGGCGGCCGAAAAGGCCGGCAGCAAGGCGCACUUCCUCGCGCUGCCGCGCGACGCCACCGUCGCCGAGCUCGAGGCGGCCGUGCGCCAGGCGCUCAGCACCAGCGUCAAGAAGGUGACGCUCGCCAUCGAGGGCUCCGCCCCGGCGGUGACCGCCGCGGUCGGCGACAUCGCCGACGCCUGCAAGCGGGACGACGGCUUCCUGUACGUGAGCGUGCGCACCGAGCAGGCCAUGGGCGCCUUUGCGAGUCCGUGCUUCUCCACUUACUAACGUGCCGGCCAGGAGGCCAACUGCGCACAUGCGGCCUCCUGGUGUGGGUGAUGCGCUUCAUAUUCCCAUUCUACCUCAUGUGGUGAAUUUUAUAUAUUUUUUUUAUUUCUCCUCUUGUGCGUUUUCUCUCCCACCCGCGUUUCUUUUGGAAGGACGCGCUGUCUCCUACUUGGCGCGCCUGUUGCGGGCGGCGGAAGCCUUUCUGGCUGUCCUCUUGCGCUACCGCUGUUGUGCCGGUGUAUGGCAACGCGUACGUGCACCGUGCUGCCCGCGCGGCACACACCGUCCCUCCCUCCAUGUGUACAUCUCUUCUGUUACCAUGUUUUG